rnacentral:rRNA from 1 species
GAAAGUAAGCAAGGGCAGACGGUGGAUGCCUUGGCUCUCGGAGGCGACGAAGGACGUGAUAAGCUGCGAAAAGCCCGGGGGAGGCGCAAAUAGCCCUUGAUCCCGGGAUAUCCGAAUGGGGCAACCCGGCAGGCUGAAGGCCUGUCAUCCCGUAAGGGAGGCGAACGUGGGGAACUGAAACAUCUAAGUACCCAUAGGAGGAGAAAAUAAACAAUGAUUCCGUAAGUAGUGGCGAGCGAACACGGAAGAGCCCAAACCCAUGUCGUCUAGGCGACACGGGGGUUGUAGGACCACGACGUGGCAAGAUAGAGUCAAGUGGAACGCCUUGGAAAAGGCGGUCAUAGAGGGUGAAAACCCCGUACACGACUGACGAUUGAAGCCUAGUGGCAUCCUGAGUAGCGCGGGGCACGAGAAAUCUUGCGUGAAACAGCGGGGCCCAUCCCGUAAGGCUAAAUACUCCCGAGAGACCGAUAGCGAACCAGUACCGUGAGGGAAAGGUGAAAAGAACCCCGAGCAGGGGAGUGAAAUAGACCCUGAACCCGUCUGCCUACAAGCGGUCGGAGCAUAGCAAUAUGUGACGGCGUGCCUUUUGCAUAAUGAACCUACGAGUUACCUUCCCCGGCAAGGUUAAGUACCUAAGGUACGGAGCCGAAGCGAAAGCGAGUCUGAACAGGGCGCCAAGUCGGGGGGGGUAGACGCGAAACCGAGUGAUCUACCCUUGGCCAGGUUGAAGGUUGGGUAACACCAACUGGAGGACCGGAUGGGUAAGCGUUGAAAAGCUUUCCAAUGAGCUGAGGGUAGGGGUGAAAGGCUAAUCAAACUCGGAGAUAGCUCGUACUCCCCGAAAUGCAUUUAGGUGCAGCCUCUUUAUAGUAUAUCGUGAGGUAGAGCGACUGAUUGGAUGCGAGGGCUUCACCGCCUAUCAAGUCCAGAUAAACUCCGAAUGCGCGAUAUAUAUUUACAGGGAGUGAGGGCGCGGGUGCUAAGGUCCGUGUCCGAGAGGAGAAGAAUCCAGACCACCGGCUAAGGCCCCCAAAUGAUCGUUGAGUUGAACUAACGAGGUCGGAUCGCAGAGACAGCUAGGAUGUUGGCUUGGAAGCAGCCAUUCAUUUAAAGAGUGCGUAACAGCUCACUAGUCGAGCGAUCUGGCGUGGAUAAUAAUCGGGCAUAAACGAUCUGCCGAAGCCGUGGAUGUCGCAAGACAUGGUAGGGGAGCAUUCCAUGCGGCGUCGAAGAUGAGGGAUGACCCUUGUUGGAGCGCAUGGAAAAGCAAAUGUAGGUAUGAGUAACGAUAAGGGGGGCGAGAAACCCCCCCGCCGAAAGACCAAGGUUUCCUGAUCAACGCUAAUCGGAUCAGGGUGAGUCGGGACCUAAGGCAAAGCCGAACGGCGCCGCCGAUGGAAGAAUGGGUUAAUAUUCCCAUACUGCCUCAUGGAGUGACGUGGAGACGGAGAAGUGACAGUCCUGCCGGCUGACGGAAUAGCCGGUUGAAGGGUGUAGAUAUUGAUUCCCGUAGGCAAAUCCGCGGGGAGAGUCGAACCUGAGAGUAUACGGAGCGCUUGCGCAACGUAAUAUGGACGUAACCAUGCUCCCAAGAAAAUCCGCUAAACUUAUCCAUGCGGCACCCGUACCGUAAACGGACACACGUGGUCGGGUUGAGAAUACUGAGGCGCUCGAGUGACUCACGGUUAAGGAACUAGGCAAAUUGACCCUGUAACUUCGGGAUAAAGGGUCCUCGUCGUAAGGCGAGGCGCAGAGAAUAGGUCCAGGCAACUGUUUAACAAAAACACAUGGCUGUGCUAAAUGGAAACAUGAUGUAUACAGCCUGACACCUGCCCGGUGCCGGAAGGUUAAGAGGAGAUGUCAUCCGCGAGGAGAAGCGUUGAAUUGAAGCCCCGGUAAACGGCGGCCGUAACUAUAACGGUCCUAAGGUAGCGAAAUUCCUUGUCGGGUAAGUUC